AAGCUGGAUUCGCUAGUAAUCGCGCAUCAGCCAUGGCGCGGUGAAUACGUUCCCGGGCCUUGUACACACCGCCCCGUCCAAGCCAUGAAAGCCGGGGGGCGCCUGAAGUCCGUGACCGCGAGGGUCGGCCUAGGGUGAAACCGGUGAUUGGGGCUAAGUCGUAACAAGGUAUC
rnacentral:rRNA from 1 species